GAUGAACGCUGGCGGCGUGCCUAAUACAUGCAAGUCGAGCGAACACAUGAGGAUCUUGCUCCUCUGACGUUAGCGGCGGACGGGUGAGUAACACGUGGAUAACCUACCUAUAAGACUGCGAUAACUUCGGGAAACCGGAGCUAAUACCGGAUAAUAUAUUUCACCUCAUGGUUCAAUAGUGAAAGACGGUUUUGCUGUCACUUAUAGAUGGAUCCGCGCCGCAUUAGCUAGUUGGUAAGGUAACGGCUUACCAAGGCAACGAUGCGUAGCCGACCUGAGAGGGUGGUCAGGCACACUGGAACUGAGACACGGUACAGACUACUCCGGGAGGCAGCAGUAGGGAAUCUUACGCAAUGGGCGAAAGGCUGACGGAGAAAAGCCGAGUGAGUGAUGAAGGGCUUCGGAUCGGAAAAGUAUGUUAUUAGGAAAGAACAAAUGUGUAAGUAACUAUGCACGUCUUGACGGUACCUAAUCAAAAAGCCACGGCUAACUACGUG
rnacentral:rRNA from 1 species